GUAGGUGAACCUGCGGAAGGN
rnacentral:rRNA from 1 species